AGGACGAACGCUGGCGGCGUGCCUAACACAUGCAAGUCGAACGAGUCCAGGCUUUCGGGCCUGAGGCGAGUGGCGGACGGGUGAGUAACACGUGAGCAAUCUGUCCCUGUGUGGGGGACAACCCGGGGAAACUCGGGCUAAUACCGCAUGGGCAGGCGUUUCUUCGGAAGUGCCUGGGAAAGAGGCCCUCUUUACAAUGGUCUCAUGCAGGGAGGAGCUCGCGGGCUAUCAGCUAGUUGGUAGUGGUAAUGGCCUACCAAGGCGACGACGGCUACGGGGUCUGAGAGGACGACCCCGCACAUUGGAACUGAGACACGGUCCAGACUCCUACGGGAGGCAGCAGCAGGGAAUCUUGCGCAAUGGGCGAAAGCCUGACGCAGCAACGCCGCGUGGGGAUGAAGGCCUUCGGGUUGUAAACCCCUUUCAGGAGGGAAGAAAUUGACGGUACCUCCAAAGAAGCCCGGCCAACUACGUGCCAGCAGCCGC
rnacentral:rRNA from 1 species